rnacentral:rRNA from 1 species
GGACCCGCACAAGCAGCGGAGCAUGUGGUUUAAUUCGAAGAUACCCGAAAACCUUACCAAGACUUGACAUCGCUUGAAUAACCGCGAAAUCGGUGAAGUAGAAGCAAUUUUACAAGCAGACAGAUGGUGCAUGGUUGUCGUCAGCUCGUGUCGUGAGAUGUUUGGUUAAGUCCAAUAACGAGCGCAACCCUUGUCAUUAGUUGCCAUCAUUAAGUUGGGAACCCUAAUGAGACCGCCGUAGAUAAUACGGAGGAAGGUGGGGAUGACGUCAAAUCAUCAUGCCUCUUACGUCUUGGGCUACACACGUGCUACAAUGGCAACUACAAAGAGCAGCAAUAUAGUAAUAUGGAGCGAAUCUCAAAAAGUUGUCCCAAUUCGGAUUGAGGGCUGCAACCGCCCUCAUGAAAUCGGAGUUGCUAGUAAUCCCAAAUCAGCAUGUUG